GAUGCCUUCGUCUAGUGGUCUAGGACAUCGCUCUUUCACAGCGGCAACGUAGGUUCGAAUCCUGCAGGCAUCACCA
rnacentral:tRNA from 1 species